AUAUUUCGGAACAGAAUCUAGUUCCUUCGAUAUCAAUGUAAUCUAAUAAUCAUGAUUUUUUCAUUGAUAUCGAAGGAACUAGAUUCUGUUCCGAAAUAU
rnacentral:miRNA from 1 species